UACGGAGGGGGCAAGCGUUGUUCGGAAUUACUGGGCGUAAAGCGUACGUAGGCGGCUUUGUAAGUUAGAGGUGAAAGCCCGGGGCUCAACUCCGGAAUUGCCUUUAAGACUGCAUCGCUUGAAUCAUGGAGAGGUGAGUGGAAUUCCGAGUGUAGAGGUGAAAUUCGUAGAUAUUCGGAAGAACACCAGUGGCGAAGGCGACUCACUGGACAUGUAUUGACGCUGAGGUACGAAAGCGUGGGGAGCAAACAGG
rnacentral:rRNA from 1 species